UAAGCACUCUGGAGUCACAUGGUU
rnacentral:miRNA from 1 species